AAAGAGUAGAGGACUGUUUCUUCCUUGAUGUGGGUGGGGGAGGGUUAGCACCCUUGGGGGACUUUGCCCUACUUUCGGUAAAAAAGAGCACUGAGCAGUCACCUGAGAAAGCGUCCUGCAAAUACAAUGUGAAUCUGGUUAACCAAGAUCUUGAAGAUAGUAGAAGGGAAAUGUGCUUUUUCAAGGAUGCAGCCAGCCGCGAGUAGAUUACCGCCACUGAAGUCUCUCCCUCAGGUAGAGGGCAUUCAUUAUUUUAGGGCAGGGGAGGGUAGACAAACACUAGCGCAAAAGACGGAGCUCCUUUCGGCAAGAGCUGGAGUGUCUGGGAAUGCAGCUCGCGCCAGAAAGGACUGGGAACUUCGCUGACUUCGGUAUGUGAGCUUCAAAGUUGGAAGAAAUUAAGCAACGUGCUUUGGAAUCUAUGGUGAUCUAUAGAAAGGCAAAGAGUUUCUGGACUUACCCUGACUGAUGGAAAGACAGACUGCCUGCCAGGACACUACCUUGCCGUACCCAGUCUUAAGUGUAAUCCAGAUCUUGUUUUUUACUGUCAAUGCAAGCCACAUUUUCCUAUUAGGAAAAUGUGAAUGAAACAAAGUGCUCUUCAAGAGCAAACCCUGAAUUAUACUUUGGGUUAUUCUCUGUUCUUCAAAAGGAUUUUGCAUCUAACUGAUAGUCUCCAAAUUUUAAUGACAGUAUAUAGAUAGCUUGGUGUAGUCAUACAGGUCAAUACAAAUGGUGAAAAGGCAAUUUGCCAUUGAAGAAUAUGUUUGCUAUAAGUAAAGAUCAAUAUACUGAGAAAACUAUACAUAUCCAGACUUCCAAAAACAGAUGGGAAUAAACCACUCAGCAAUCAGAAAAUGUGAAGAUGGCAGUCUGUUCACUUCCAGAGAAAAUAGUUCAAAAAUGUAUCUCAAAGUCGAUAUAAGCUGUUGUACUAGAAUUAGUCCCUAUAUGAGCAUUUGGUAUUAUGAAAUAAGGUGUUCCCAACGAAAAGAUCACUGGUAUAUAGAAAAUAAAAAUUUAAAAAUAAAACUUAGGAAAAUUAUGUGAUAAUAAAUUUUGCACUUCUUGGUCCUUAUCAUUAUUAUCUUGUGGUCAAGAGUUUGCAGUUGAACUGGUUACCUGUGGUGGGGCUAUGCAAGGACAUUUACUUUUUAUUCUAUAUACUGUGUAUCAUUUGAAUUUUGGACAAUGAAUGUUUAUUCAGGUAUUUUAGAUUUUAUUUAAUUUAGAAAAUAUUUUAUAGUUAAAAUAAGGGCUGCCAAUUUAACACACUAAUAUAGGGUCUAAGUGGUAAAACUUGAACCUAAAAUAAGAAUUUUUAUACUAAAUAUGAUGAUAUAUAAUGUAAGAAGAUAACUUAUAUAAUAACAAAAGUUCAAAGGGGAUCCACAAGUUAUUAGUAAUGGUUAUGUCUAGAGAGUGGAAUUAUGGAUAUUUAUUUUUUUUCCUUAUUUUCUAUAAUUUUUUACAUUAUUACAUAUUUUACAUAACUUACAGUAAGUACUUAACUGCUUUUGUGACAAGAAAAAAAUAUAAUUGUUACUAAGAAAAAAGGUAGAUGAAACACAUUUUAGUGUAUUCAUACAAUACAAUACAGUACUAGCCAGCAAUGAAAAAGAAUGAACUCAGAUACAUGCAACAUGGAUACACCUCAAAAACAUCUUAAGUGAAACAAGCCAUAUGCAAAUGAGUACAUCCUGUGUGAUUCCAUUUAUUUGAAGUCUGACAACAGGUCUACGGCCGUACUACCCUGAAUGUAUCUGAUCUCAUCUGAAGUCUAAGCAACAGACUAUAGAAAAAACAGAUCUAUAGUGAUAUAAGUCAGGAAGUGGUUGAACGGUGAGAGACAGGGUGAGAAGUGAUUGAAAAGGGGCACAAAGAAAUCUUCUGAGGUGAUGAAGCUGUUCUGUAUCUAGUUUUGGAUGAAGGUAACAUAGGUGUGUAGAGUUGUUGAAGCUCAUUGAAUGGGGCACUUAGAUCUGUAGAUUGUAUACAUAUUAGUAUAUUUGAAUUAAAAAGAUUAAAAGGAGUAAAUAAGUUAACACUAUGUAUUGCCCCAAAAAUUUUAAUUUGAGGGAUUUCUUUGGUGGAAAGUCACCCUACUUUAAGAACAGUUUUGAAAAUUAGGAAAAUACUAUAAAAUAUAGCCCAGAAGAAAUUCUGUAAAAGACCCAAUUGCAAAUUAAAAACUUAAGCCUAUCCAGAUGAGCUUUUUUUUUUUGAGACGGAGCCUCACUCUGUCAUCCAGGCUGGAGUGCAGUGGCGCAAUCUCAGCUUACUGCAACCUCUGCCUCUGCCUCCCGGGUUCCACUGCGCCCCACCUUAGGAUAAUAUUUUAUAUGCAUGUGUGCACCAAACACUUAUGAUUGAAGCAAGGCAUGUUGUUAAGGUGAGACUUAGGGCUUCUGUAAUGAUUUAGUAUAAAAUUAUUACUUCUAAAACUUAGUGAAGGCACAUAAAAAAUUUUAGAAUAAGCUUCAUAUUGUGAUUAAACAAAUUAUUAAUUUUAUAUAUCAACAGUUCACCCUGAACAUUGAUGGAUAAAUACAUUUAUAAGCACUUCUUUGCUUUAUGGCCUAGGUUAAGUCACUUAUAUCUGGCUUUUAAUUUCCUAAUCUACAAUGAAAUAUGUUGAAUUUAAAUGGCAGUUUUCAAACUUAAGCAUGCAUCAGAAUCACCUGGAGGGCUUGUUAACAUAAAUUAUUGGGACCUACCCCCUUGAGUUCCUGACACAAUAAGGUCUGCGGUGGGGCUCAAGAAUUUGCAUUCCUGACAAGUUCCCAGAUCAUGUUGAUGCUGCUAUCUGGGAACCAUACUUGGAAAACCACUGAAGGAGAACUAUCCUAAGCUGUAUGAGACAAAAGAUCAGAACUUCUGCAGAUAGAAAAGCACAUCAAUGAAGAACUGCUUACAAAAUCUAUGUUGAAUUUAGAGAACUGUAUCCGCAUUUGGAACAAGAUUUAUAAAUAUUACUGUGGUGUGGGGUCUUUCGCACUAUCUCUGUUUUGACCUCUAAAUGUUGCAGUCACCAUAGUCACUUUUGCACCCCCUGUGUGGCAACUGGGUGGUAGUGUUCUAAGACCUACUUCUGGGCUGAGAGGGAGUUUCCAAAAGAAUUGGAGAGGUGGAAAAUCCCCAUGUCCCAAACCAGUUGUAUUAGGUUUCACUACCCUAUUUAUGACAUUGGAAAUAACUAUUCUAAUUACUAAAAAACUGUGCACCAAAAGAAAAACAUGAUUCUGGUAGAGAAACUAAGGCAGAUGAGAAAAUGCAAGAAUGUCAAAGUAAAGCCAGUUAGGCUUUGUGGUAACACACAGGCAGGUGUGUGAUUUCCCUGUGCUCUUUGAAACCUUUAAGAAGUCAGAAACAAUCAUGCUUUCCAUUAAUUAACAACACAGCAUUUUGAAAUGCUUGUUUUAAAGCCAGGAGAUUUCCAGUUCAUCUGCAGAUUACAGUAGUAUGCUUCUCAGCAAAAUCCAUCUAAUAGUAAACAUUAGAGUCUUUCAGGUUAUUAAAUACCCAUAGGUUGUUAAGUAAAUUUUAAAGUAUUUGUUAAUCAAUGAGCAAGAAUGCAAACAUACCUUUUUUUCUCUUUUCAGUGAGCUUUCAGUUUAGUUAAAAGGGAGAAAAGGUGCACGCUACAGUUAGAACAAUUGACUGGUAAACUAAACGGUACUGAGUUCAAUUUAGUGUGAGUACAGAAAAAGUUGAGGUUAGUAUGGGCUGGUAUAGUUGAAGGGACAAGAGUGGCACUUGAGAUGGGUGUUAGGAUGAAGGAGGCCAAGGAAGGGACUCCAGCAAAAUAAAAUAGCUUCAUUAAAAGCCACAGAACUUGGGUUAAACGCAGUGCUAGCCUGUAGGUAAAGGGAGAUGUUGGGGAUUUUUGAAUGACCAGGUUCAUCCACACAUACAUCUAAUCCUCUAUAGUUGUUCAUUCAAAGAACAUGUAUCAAGAGCCAACUGUAAGCCAGACACUAUGCUAUGGAGUGCCUCGGCAACUAGAAUUUGGUUAAUGUUUUGACAAAGGCAAAAGAACUUGGACUUAAUGUUAUGGACUUAAGCAGAGAAUGACAUUAUGAAAACCUUUUUUUGGGAAGAUUACCCAGGCAACAGGAUGGAUUACACUUUCAAGGAGAACUUUGGGAUGGCUACAGGAAGAUCUGCUAAAAAGACCCUACAGUUAUUCAUGUGUGAGGUAAUAAAGGUCUGGCAUAGAAAUGGAAAGAAAGUGGUAAAUAUGAGAAUCACCUUGAAGAAAUGAACAGCAGGACUUGAUGGUGUAUAUGCAGACAGGACAAAAGAAAAGAAAGGGUUUAAGAUGGAGAUAAUGGUUUGGAGUCUGGAAGACUGGUAGAAAGUAGCA